GACGAACCGUCCAAACGUUAUUCGGAAUCACUGGGCUUAAAGGGUGCGUAGGCGGCGCGGUAAGUUGGGUGUGAAAGACCUCGGCCUAACCGAGGAAUGGCGCCCAAAACUGCCGUGCUCGAGCAAGGCAGAGGUGAACGGAACUUAGGGUGGAGCGGUGAAAUGCGUUGAUAUCCUAAGGAACACCAGUAGCGAAAGCGGUUCACUGGGCCUUUUCUGACGCUGAUGCACGAAAGCCAGGGGAGCGAACGGG
rnacentral:rRNA from 1 species